AGGCAGGGUCUGACCAGGACUUUUAAUCCAUUGGUUGUGGGUUCGAGUCCCACACGGCCUA
rnacentral:tRNA from 1 species